rnacentral:sRNA from 1 species
UGACACCAGCACAGCAAACCCGCUGGGAUCAAAGUGUACCAGUCGGCAGCAUGGCUACGAAAUGUGGGAACUGUGGACCCGGCUACUCCACCCCUCUGGAGGCCAUGAAAGGACCCAGGGAAGAGAUCGUCUACCUGCCCUGCAUUUACCGAAACACAGGCACUGAGGCCCCAGAUUAUCUGGCCACUGUGGAUGUUGACCCCAAGUCUCCCCAGUAUUGCCAGGUCAUCCACCGGCUGCCCAUGCCCAACCUGAAGGACGAGCUGCAUCACUCAGGAUGGAACACCUGCAGCAGCUGCUUCGGUGAUAGCACCAAGUCGCGCACCAAGCUGGUGCUGCCCAGUCUCAUCUCCUCUCGUAUCUAUGUGGUGGACGUGGGCUCUGAGCCCCGGGCCCCAAAGCUGCACAAGGUCAUUGAGCCCGAGGACAUCCAUGCCAAGUGCGAACUGGCCUUUCUCCACACCAGCCACUGCCUGGCCAGCGGGGAAGUGAUGAUCAGCUCCCUGGGAGACGUCAAGGGCAAUGGCAAAGAUGGGAGUCUCGCUCUGUUGCCCAGGCUAGAGUGCAGUGGCGCGAUCUCAGCUCACUCCAACCUCCGCCUCACUGGUUCAAGAGAUUCUCCUGCCUCAGCCUCCCGAGUAGCUGGGAUUAC